rnacentral:tRNA from 1 species
GUCUCUGUAGUAUACUUAAUUACUCUGGUCUUGUAAACCAGCAAAGGGGACUUAAACUCCCCCAAAGACC